GGUGCGAGUUUGAUCCUGAGUUCUGACCCAGUGCAGAUACUUGGUGAGAUUAGUGGUGCUUUCUCUUCAACCCCAGCUAAAGAAAGGCCACAAGCUCACAUGUCUGCCUUAAUGGCCCUUGUGCAGUGGAUAGGCAUUAAGCCCAAACCUUUCCUUUUCUUACUCUACCUCUGGUGCCCUCAGCUCACCUCACCGCCACAGGCAAGGUAGCGGCCAGCCACCGUCCACGCCAGCCAGACGCAAAGCGGGGCCAGCCUGUUGUCCACCUUACACAGGUCAACCAGUGGCAAGGGUUACGCAAGGAUAAAAAGGUUGAGAAACGCUGUCCUCUGCAAGUAACCUACCCUUAUCUGCCAUGCUGGGAGCUGGUCGGUGCAGUGUUGUCCGAGUGGAGUGCUGUGGAGUACUGCGUUUGUGCGUCUGCGACUGGUAACUGUGUAUCUCAUGACGAGAAGCGAGAGCUGCCAUGCAUUUCCUCCGAUGCAACUCACUGACAGACAUAUCAUUUAUUUUUUUUCACGUGUCCUUCACUACUCAUGACUUGUAUAUU